UAUUCAUUCUAUGAUGAAUGAUUGAGCAGAAGAGUUCUUGAAGACUAUAUUCAUCACCCAAGACUGAAUAUAUCUA